rnacentral:rRNA from 1 species
UACGUAGGUGACAAGCGUUGUCCGGAUUUACUGGGCGUAAAGAGCGCGCAGGCGGUCGAUCAAGUCGAGUGUGAAAGCCCCCGGCUCAACUGGGGAGGGUCAUUCGAUACUGAUCGACUCGAAGGCAGGAGAGGGUAGUGGAAUUCCCGGUGUAGUGGUGAAAUGCGUAGAUAUCGGGAGGAACACCAGUGGCGAAAGCGCUCUACUGGACGGUAUCUGACACUGAGGGACGAAAGCUAGGGGAGCGAAUGGG